rnacentral:rRNA from 1 species
CCUACGGGAGGCAGCAGUGGGGAAUUUUGGACAAUGGGCGAAAGCCUGAUCCAGCAAUGCCGCGUGAGUGAAGAAGGCCUUCGGGUUGUAAAGCUCUUUUGUCAGGGAAGAAACGGUGAAAGCUAAUAUCUUUUGCUAAUGACAGUACCUGAAGAAUAAGCACCGGCUAACUACGUGCCAGCAGCCGCGGUAAUACGUAGGGUGCAAGCGUUAAUCGGAAUUACUGGGCGUAAAGCGUGCGCAGGCGGUUUUGUAAGUCUGAUGUGAAAUCCCCGGGCUCAACCUGGGAAUUGCAUUGGAGACUGCAAGGCUAGAAUCUGGCAGAGGGGGGUAGAAUUCCACGUGUAGCAGUGAAAUGCGUAGAUAUGUGGAGGAACACCGAUGGCGAAGGCAGCCCCCUGGGUCAAGAUUGACGCUCAUGCACGAAAGCGUGGGGAGCAAACAGGAUUAGAUACCCUGGUAGUCCACGCCCUAAACGAUGUCUACUAGUUGUCGGGUCUUAAUUGACUUGGUAACGCAGCUAACGCGUGAAGUAGACCGCCUGGGGAAGUACGGUCGCAAGAUUAAAACUUCAAAGGAAUUGACGGCNGAGAGNGCGACGGACGACGACGAGGGAGGAGG